rnacentral:lncRNA from 1 species
GCGGGGUGGGGGCGGGGUGGGGGAAGGGAGUAGAAAAAGCUCAGCAGGUUCCUGCCUUUCACAGGUCAGUGGUAUCAGGGGUAGGGCUCUCAUCAUAGGGAGCAGGGCACCUGACACACAGGGCAAGACAUUCCAGGAGAGGCCCUGGCCAGGGGGCUGGAGCAGCCCCAGGGACACCAGGCACAUGGAGAAGCUGCAGCAAACGGAUGCUGUCAGCACUGCAUUUCUCCUACACGUCCUACAGGUGACCCAGGCUAUUGAGUGGUAACACCCAGACUCUGUCUCAGGCAUCUUUUCUGACUGCAGGAGCUCACUCAGCCUCAGUCAAUGACAGACAGGGCAUAGGUGAAUAAAAUCCCAGUUUCUUCAACCCGGUUGGACCUCACCUCCCUGCUUCCUAGCAGGACAGAGAGAGCUCCAGCCCAGGAGUAACUGGCUUGAUGACGCUGAUACAACCUUGGUUCAGAUGGAAGAAGAAUGGGCCACAAGUCACAGGCACAGGUGGCCCUUGACUUCCACCUGGGUGACCUUUGCCUGCAUCUGCACUGGUGUCCAUACUGCCUUCACUGCAAGAGGCUGCACCCUUGCUACCAGCUGUUCCCCUGGCAAUGCAGGCUCUCAUGGGAAGUAACCCCACUCAGCUGACUGCAGCUGCAGCUUUGGCUAUCCGGAUAGUUGAGGAAGGGGCAAUGACUUGAAUGCUGUUUGAUUCUUGUCAUAAAAAUGGGGAAGAGAGGAGAAGAGAGGAGAAAGGAAGGAGGGAAAGAGGAGAGGAAGAAAGGUCACACUAGCAAUAAGUCUCCUUAGCAAUACAACUGAGACAAUGAUGGAAAUCCCUAGAAAGGCCAGAAGGAGAGAAUCUUCCACUUUGAUCAACAUUCAGAGGACCAAAGGAAAAGAGACAAAUUAAACAACACACUCAUAACACUAAAAAUGCUUCACUCAAGAU